GUGAUUAAAUCGAGCAGUGUCUUCAUUGACCGCUCACCCUUCUCACCAUCCACAUACACCUGUGCACUGUUUAGCCUGAGCCGGUUUUCCGGUCCAGGUUAUCAUUUCAUACAAACUCUAGUCUUAUGAAUGUAAACGUUUUAAUAACAUAAUA
rnacentral:misc_RNA from 1 species